GACUACAUCUCUGCUUCUGAUGACCUUCUUCUUUACAGGAUCCCACAAUCUGUACCCGAACUCUUCAUCUCCGUAUGCGAUAAAUAUGCAGGGAACGGAUUUAUCAUCUAGCUUUGUUCUCUGCUCUUUCAGUACAUGUGCAAAAGCUCUGCAACCGAACACCUUUAGAUGCGAGUAGGACACUUCCUUACUGGUCCAUACUCUCUCUGGGAUGUCAAACGCCAAUGGAACUGACGGACUCCUAUUGAUCAGGUAACAGGUUGUUUGAACUGCUUCACCCCAGAAUGACUUAGGUAGUUUAGCCAUUCUGAGCAUGCUUCUCACCUUCUCCACAAUAGUGCGAUUCAUCCUCUCUACUACACCAUUGUGUUGCGGGGUUCCAGGAACUGUAUUUUCAUGUCUGAUCCUAUGACUUGAACAAUACUCUUCAAAUUCACUUGAAGUGUACUCACCUCCAUUGCCACUUCGGAGAAGCUUUAGCUUUUGAACUGUCUCCCUUUCUACUGGAGCAUGAAACUUCUGGAAAACUUGAAACACCUGAUCUUUGGUUUUCAAAAUACAAACCCACAAAUUAUUCUCAGAAAUUGAAGUAUACACAUGGAUCGUAAUAGGUCUUUAUGUAUGUUUGACUUUUCAUGAAUUAGUCAAACUUUAUGUACCACUGCCUUGGUGCCUGCUUCAAUCAAUAAAGACUCUUAUUCAAUUUGCACACCAUGUGUUUCUUUCCAGCUACUUCAAAUCCUUCUGGCUACUCCAUAUAAAUCUCUUCUUUCAAAUCUCCAUUUGCACACCAUGUAUUUCUUUCCAGCUACUUCAAAUCCUUCUGUCUGCUCCAUAUAAAUCCCUUCUUUCAAAUCUCCAUGAAGAAAUGCAGUUUUCACAUCCAACUGCUCCACUUCUAGAUCUAGGCUAGUUGAGCUCAAAAUUAUUCGAAUAGAAAUCAUUUUGACAAUAGGUGAGAAAAUUUCUUCAAAAUGAAUACCUUUCUUCUGUUCGAAGCCUUUAACCACCAAUCGAGCUUUGUAUCUGACCAACUUGUCAUUUCCAUCUUUCUCGAGUUUAAAGACCCAUUUGCAUUUGGGUGGUCUUUUACCCCUUGGAAGUUCAACCAGCUUGUACGUGCCAUUUUUCUGUAGAGAUUCCAUCUCUUCUUGCAUAGCUUUCAUUCACUGGUUCUUUUCUGGAUGGGACAACACCUCCUUAAGACUUUCUGGAUCCCCCUCAUCACUAAUGAGGACAUACUCUUUGGAAGGGUACCUGCAUGACUCUACCCUUGGCCUCUCUGAUCUCCUCAGAGGUUGAGGUUGUUCUUCUUCCCGAGUGGGGUGCUCCACUUCCUCGACACAUUCAUCAAGUUGCUCUCCCUGCUCAAUAACCUCACCAGGUUGCUCCCCCUGCUCUGCAACCUCGUCGGUCGUACUUUCUGCACUUGUGGGAUUGUUAGAAAUAGAAGGAAUAGUUACAAGGUUAGGAAUUAUACCAUUCUUCGCCUUUUCAAACAUAUCAGCAGCAAUUCCAACUUCACUUUCUCGGAAGACUACAUCUCUGCUUCUGAUGACCUUCUUCUUUACAGGAUCCCACAAUCUGUACCCG
rnacentral:lncRNA from 1 species